CGGCCUCCCUAGACACUUAUCGUCUGCCCUGUGCGAUAGGAGGCUGGACCUUGGAGAUGUUUCUGAGAUUUGAUUCCUGGGCUUUUGGAAAAGCAAAGUGAACGCAAAAUCCACUCUGAUGAGUGGUGGAGAAGCAGAAGCAAAAGGCUUGGGGCUUUUGAAAGUGAAGUGGAUUUUUGAAUGCUAAAAAAAAAAAAAAAAAAAAAUCUGUAAUUUCCAGUUUUAAAGAACCGCCUAUAAGGAUAAUUGAACAAAUAAAAAGCUCACUUUUUG
rnacentral:lncRNA from 1 species